rnacentral:rRNA from 1 species
AGUGGCGGACGGGUGAGUAACGCGUGAACAAUCUGCCCUGUACACAGGAAUAGCCUCGGGAAACUGGGAUUAAAACCGGAUAACACUUUUUUCUCGCAUGAGAGAGAAGUCAAAUUGAUUUAGAGGUACAGGAUGAGUUCGCGUCUGAUUAGCUAGUUGGUGAGGUAAUGGCUCACCAAGGCGACGAUCAGUAGCCGGCCUGAGAGGGUGAACGGCCACACUGGAACUGAGACACGGUCCAGACUCCUACGGGAGGCAGCAGUGGGGAAUAUUGCACAAUGGAGGAAACUCUGAUGCAGCGACGCCGCGUGAGUGAAGAAGGUCUUCGGAUCGUAAAACUCUGUCCUUGGUGACGAAAAAAAUGACGGUAGCCAAGGAGGAAGCCCCGGCUAACUACGUGCCAGCAGCCGCGGUAAUACGUAGGGGGCGAGCGUUGUCCGGAUUUACUGGGCGUAAAGGGUGAGUAGGCGGUAAUAUGUGUCAGAUGUAAAAGGCUAUGGCUUAACCAUAGUUGGCAUUUGAAACUGUAUUACUUGAGUGCAGGAGAGGUAAGUGGAAUUCCUAGUGUAGCGGUGAAAUGCGUAGAUAUUAGGAGGAACACCAGUGGCGAAGGCGACUUACUGGACUGUAACUGACGCUGAGUCACGAAAGCGUGGGUAGCAAACAGGAUUAGAUACCCUGGUAGUCCACGCU